UGCAUGUGAUGACCAGCCUCUUCCUGAUGACGCUGAGGGUUGAAACUGAUUUAAUGAGCCUGAUGC